rnacentral:rRNA from 1 species
CGAAUGCUGACAUAAGUAACGAUAAAGCGGGUGAAAAGCCCGCUCGCCGGAAGACCAAGGGUUCCUGUCCAACGUUAAUCGGGGCAGGGUGAGUCGACCCCUAAGGCGAGGCCGAAAGGCGUAGUCGAUGGGAAACAGGUUAAUAUUCCUGUACUUGGUGUUACUGCGAAGGGGGGACGGAGAAGGCUAUGUUGGCCGGGCGACGGUUGUCCCGGUUUAAGCGUGUAGGCUGGUUUUCCAGGCAAAUCCGGAAAAUCAAGGCUGAGGCGUGAUGACGAGGCACUACGGUGCUGAAGCAACAAAUGCCCUGCUUCCAGGAAAAGCCUCUAAGCAUCAGGUAACAUCAAAUCGUACCCCAAACCGACACAGGUGGUCAGGUAGAGAAUACCAAGGCGCUUGAGAGAACUCGGGUGAAGGAACUAGGCAAAAUGGUGCCGUAACUUCGGGAGAAGGCACGCUGAUAUGUAGGUGAAGUCCCUCGCGGAUGGAGCUGAAAUCAGUCGAAGAUACCAGCUGGCUGCAACUGUUUAUUAAAAACACAGCACUGUGCAAACACGAAAGUGGACGUAUACGGUGUGACGCCUGCCCGGUGCCGGAAGGUUAAUUGAUGGGGUCAGCGCAAGCGAAGCUCUUGAUCGAAGCCCCGGUAAACGGCGGCCGUAACUAUAACGGUCCUAAGGUAGCGAAAUUCCUUGUCGGGUAAGUUCCGACCUGCACGAAUGGCGUAAUGAUGGCCAGGCUGUCUCCACCCGAGACUCAGUGAAAUUGAACUCGCUGUGAAGAUGCAGUGUACCCGCGGCAAGACGGAAAGACCCCGUGAACCUUUACUAUAGCUUGACACUGAACAUUGAGCCUUGAUGUGUAGGAUAGGUGGGAGGCUUUGAAGUGUGGACGCCAGUCUGCAUGGAGCCGACCUUGAAAUACCACCCUUUAAUGUUUGAUGUUCUAACGUGGACCCGUGAUCCGGGUUGCGGACAGUGUCUGGUGGGUAGUUUGACUGGGGCGGUCUCCUCCUAAAGAGUAACGGAGGAGCACGAAGGUUGGCUAAUCCUGGUCGGACAUCAGGAGGUUAGUGCAAUGGCAUAAGCCAGCUUGACUGCGAGCGUGACGGCGCGAGCAGGUGCGAAAGCAGGUCAUAGUGAUCCGGUGGUUCUGAAUGGAAGGGCCAUCGCUCAACGGAUAAAAGGUACUCCGGGGAUAACAGGCUGAUACCGCCCAAGAGUUCAUAUCGACGGCGGUGUUUGGCACCUCGAUGUCGGCUCAUCACAUCCUGGGGCUGAAGUAGGUCCCAAGGGUAUGGCUGUUCGCCAUUUAAAGUGGUACGCGAGCUGGGUUUAGAACGUCGUGAGACAGUUCGGUCCCUAUCUGCCGUGGGCGCUGGAGAACUGAGGGGGGCUGCUCCUAGUACGAGAGGACCGGAGUGGACGCAUCACUGGUGUUCGGGUUGUCAUGCCAAUGGCACUGCCCGGUAGCUAAAUGCGGAAGAGAUAAGUGCUGAAAGCAUCUAAGCACGAAACUUGCCCCGAGAUGAGUUCUCCCUGACCCUUUAAGGGUCCUGAAGGAACGUUGAAGACGACGACGUUGAUAGGCCGGGUGUGUAAGC